rnacentral:rRNA from 1 species
CCCUUAGAUGUUCUGGGCCGCACACGCGCUACACUGAAGGAGGCAGCGUGUACUCCUGGAUCGAAAGAUUUGGGUAACCCGCGAAUCUCCUUCGUGCUAGGGAUUGAGGUUUGCAAUUAUCCUUCAUGAACGAGGAAUUCCCAGUAAGUGCAAGUCAUAAGCUUGCGCUGACUACGUCCCUGCCCUUUGUACACACCGCCCGUCGCUACUACCGAUUGAAUGAUUUAGUGAGGACUUCGGACUGGGACCGAUGCGGCUUUCGGGCUGCGUCGGUAUUCUGGAAAGAUGUCCAAACUGUAUCGUUUAGAGGAAGUAAAANUCGUAACA